AGAGUUUGAUCAUGGCUCAGGAUGAACGCUAGCUACAGGCUUAACACAUGCAAGUCGAGGGGCAGCAUGUUGGUUGCUUGCAACCAAUGAUGGCGACCGGCGCACGGGUGAGUAACGCGUAUCCAACCUACCGCUGACUAGGGAAUAACUCAUCGAAAGGUGGACUAAUGCCCUAUGGUCUUCACAGCAGACAUCUAAAGUGAAGUAAAGAUUUAUCGGUUAGCGAUGGGGAUGCGUCUGAUUAGCUUGUUGGCGGGGUAACGGCCCACCAAGGCAACGAUCAGUAGGGGUUCUGAGAGGAAGGUCCCCCACAUUGGAACUGAGACACGGUCCCAACUCCUACGGGAGGCAGCAGUGAGGAAUAUUGGUCAAUGGACGAAAGUCUGAACCAGCCAAGUAGCGUGUAGGAUGACUGCCCUUGGGUUGUAAACUACUUUUAUGUGGGGAUAAAAUACUUUACGUGUAAAGUUUUGCAGGUACCACAUGAAUAAGGACCGGCU
rnacentral:rRNA from 1 species